CAGUUUCUACAUAGAUACAAAGUAGCACGACCUAAGCCCUAGGCCUUCUUGGCUGGUCUCCAAGGGAAAUCCUGCACCCAGGCCAGAGCAGUCAGGCCGUCUUUGCUGCCACUUUGGGCCUCCAAACGUCUUGCUUCUUAUAGUAACUGUCCCUGAGGAACCAAGAUGGGCAGUAUGUUUUCAUCAGAACAGCUUGUGCAGAGCCAUGGAUGAGAGUGUCGGCACAGAGACUGCCAUCAUCUGGUCUCUGCCAAAACAUUCCACUGACGGCAAGCUCAUGACAGAGCGGGGUAGUCCAUUUCUGUUGUUGGACGUUCAAUGUCUUCCCAAAUUCUUCCUCGCACUGAACAACGAGCCAUCUCCCGAGGACUUCCACAUUCCGGGCCUACCUCUGCCUUCAUCUCCCAGAUGUCUGCCUACCUACCAGAUGACUGGUAUUUAUCUAUCUAAAAACAAAGCUCUCGAUUUCUAAUUAUGGAGACUCUAAGUCAGGUCUGCCUUUUUCAAUGGGGAACAUCCAGAAGGCACAUUCUUAGACUGCUAACAAUUCAAAACUAUAGACACAGGGUAUGAACCAGAGGUUAAGAUUUGUUUUUUUAAGGACCUCAGAAUUUCUUGGGGAAUUAAAAAAAGAAAAGAAGAAAAGGAACACACAAGUCAUGGCUAAGACUCUGAUUUGGCAGCUCUGGGUAAGUACGUGGACAGCCAUAUAUUAAAAACAACAACAACAAGAAACAACUCCACAGUUGUUUCUGAUAUUCAGCCCAGGUAGGACUUGACAACCUAUGGCUUUGAGUCAGACAGUUUGAUGGCCCUUUACUGUCCCCCCUUACUGACCAUGUAACCGUGCGCAUGGCAAAUUAUUUACUAUCUCUGUGCCUACGGUAAUAAUCACAUCUAUAACAGUAGCAGCUGACAUCCACAGAAUGUGGCUCUGAGCCAGGCAUAAUGGAAGGCAUCGCGCAUUAUAACGCACGCGACCCUCACAACCACCCGCCUGGACACAGAAAGGGUACGUAACACACCCAAGGUCAUACAGCCAGUGCUGACUCAGAAGAGUCUGCGCCUGGGUCUGUGGGACCCUGCUAAGCCGACUCCCACCACAGUGCAAGUAGCACCUUGGAAGCCUGUUUUAAGGAUUUAGCACCCGGGCACAGGGAAAGAGUAUGGCUGAACUCCUUCUCUCUCUUGGGCCCCUUCCGGGCCCAGCCCCCUAGGGACAGCUGGGGAAAGACCGGCCCGCCCACUCACUUUGCCGCGGCACACAGAGCGCACACACUCCACCGGCUGCCCCGUCUCCAGCUGGAAGGCCCGGCAGCGCUUCAUCUCCUGGUCCCACAGUUUCACAGCACCGCCUUCUUUGGUCCUAAAAAGGAGUGAGAGGACCUUGGCAAGUUGGGCCUUGUCCUAAGACUUGCCCUUGAUGCUCCAUGUCCCCUGUCCCUAUCGUCAAGGCCACCGGGUCCCAGCAGGACAGACCCUCCAGGGUGGCUUCUUUUUUGGCCCUGCCGACGGGUAGUGACAACCAUUUCACUAGAAUACUUUCAAAAUGCCACUAUGGCAGAAGGAAAGAGGACUGCGAUCUCAAAUACCAAACCGUGUCUUGAUUAGAUCAAACACGAAGAGAAACGUUUCUCUGCUGCUCUGCUUCCUUCUUACAUCUCUGUCCCCAGGGGAACUUCUCUCCCCGCCUCUCCAUCCUCCCGUCCCCGAGACCUAGGGGGAAGUAACACUCGAUGAAGAGCAUAGUCACUCGAGUCUAUUCAAGAAUACCUCUCUGGAUUUUCCACUACCAUUAAACCACCUCCCUCCUUCUCUGACUUGUACUCUGAAGGUUUGUGCCCAGGGCCCUCUUGGAGAGACGGCAGACUCGUCUCCCUGAUGCAGGCAAGAUGGGGGAAAGAAAAUCUGCGUUUUCUCCCCGUGGGAGAUGCUUCUGUCAGUUCCUCCCAGCACAAUAAGAAAAGAUCAGUUGUUCCCAGAGGAGUUUCGCCUUACGGCCGCUCUUUGCCACCGGUCACUAUGAGUCCAUCCCGGAGGGUCGUGUACAUUGUGAAGACAGGGCCCGUGUGAGCCUUGGCCACCAGUCGGACGAGGAAGUGGUCCUUCCACACGUAGACGUCUCCGUUGAUGGCACCCGUGAAAGUGAGGUUGUUCUGUAAACAAAGGGACAUCUUCCACACUAGGACACUCACAGCACCUCUCAAGAGGGUCCCCUCCCAGCCACCUGCUCCUUGGUUAGGGAACUAGAACUAGAGAAAGAGAAACACACUCAAAUUGACCUUCUGUGCUAAGGAAAGGGAUAAAGGAAUAAAGGUUGCAAGUAAGCCAAUAAAGGUGAAAAUGUGGAAAUA